CUUGUUCCAUGGUAGGGCAUAUGCAUAUCUAGAGGUAGUAGAUGAAACGCAGUUCAUUAUUCUAAUAUUUCAAGCUCUUUAAUCGCAAUAGGAACAUACUAUUGAAAAUAUAUAUCAAAUAUGUUCAUUAAUCAUGUGAGUUUUUUCCCCUAUAGGUGGUGACUGAAGUCUGGUCAGUCGGUAGGCAGCAGUACUCAAUUUACCGCAUUCCUACAAUCCAACUGAAAUUACGGGUAUUCAGAAUCGGCCUUCGAACAGUUGAUGAAGCCCGCCCUGGUAGAUGGAAUCUGCCGCUUGACCAGCAGCACUGUCCAGAGACAGUGGUUGAUGCUGGAUAUAUGACUUUUCCUCAGCCCAUCAUUACCUGCUGGAGUGCUGGUAGAGGCUGAACGCUUUAAUAAAUAUAACUGUGAUCUUGCUGAGAUGUAGUAAUCCAUGGGAAUUUUCCAAAGAAGAUUCAAGAGAAGUAUUCAAUUUUCUCAUAAGUUCAGACUGUAGAGAGCAUGGAAGCAGAUAUUACAGUUAUCUCCCUUAGACUAGAUGAAUUACAAUGCAACACUUUCAAAUCAUCUAAGUUUAGAGUUAUAAUGCUGUUUGAAUUCUCUGAAUUUGGCUACGGUUACUAGUUAAAGACAUAACACAUGUAUUGCCUCAGUUUACUUACAAUUAUAACAUACAGUAUAAUUUGUCCAAACCGGCCUCUGAGUACUCCGGCGCUCUGUCAAUUCCGGCCAUAAAAUAUAGUCCCUAACAUUUCUUUAACAAAUCCUUUAUUAAUAAUUCCCUGUACUCCGGAUACUGCGUAUUCUGUAUAUCGGCCGGCUCACACAGUCCCAACUGCUAUCAAUUAACUUUAAUUAUCCUGUGUAAACCGGCCCCUCGAUGAUACACCACCCUAAUUGUUGUGGUCAAUUGUAUUCGGUGUACACAAGGUCCCAACUGCUCGUAAUUAGCUCUAAUUAUCGCAUUUAAACCAGCCACCCCACGAUGACCAACCUGUCGGUAUUCAGUCGAUCACACGCGGUGUACACAAAAGGUGUCUCAAGAGAAGCCACAGGUAAGUAAAAGAGUGCAACUGGCGAUGAGUCGCGAUCAGUUUAAAAUAAAACCUGAUUUUUAUGGGGUGCACUUUUCAAUUAUGACAGCACCACGCUCGAGGUAAUGGCGCCCUCCCCCUAACGACAGAGACGAGAACUGACAUUAAAAGACAAAAUUCAAUUAAUCGAUGGAUUCGAUACAUUCUUGGAAUGAAACAAAAUCGGCAACAAUUCCGUUAUGUUUUUUAAAAGCAGGGUUUCCCCUCGUGGACUUCUCGGAGCUCUAUGGCAAGUCAGACAGUGAUGAUAUGCAGUUAGUUAGCAUAACUCGCAAUGUCCGGUCGAUCACUCGGCAUUGUAUUAGUUUCCGUUUCUCAAAUUGAGACAGUUGAAAGCGAUACAUUUACAAUGAAAGCUGGGAAAGACAAAUUUUAAACGAACACAACACAAACUUGACGAACGUACAUAAUGUAGCACUUGAUAACGGCGAUGGUGUAGACGAAAUUGACAAUUUACCAACAGAAAAUUGCGCGAAUAAUUCCCAGAUUUUAAACUGUUUAAUAAAAAUUGAAACUUUUUCAAAUGAGCACGACAAUAAAACACUGAUAUUUAUAUUUUACAUUUUGAAUUCUUUUGUGAUAUAUUAAAACAUUAGCAAUCAUUACACACGUAUGCAUAGAUAGUGAAUACAAGGGAAGCAACUCUCAUUCUUGUCAACAUUCUGCACUCCGGACUCUGUGCAAACCGGCCAAUUUCUUUGGAACCACACAUAGCCGGUUUAGACAGAUUAUACUGUAUACCUAUAAGUAUAAAUUGUCCUUCUCUUAAUUUUAUAUACUUUGUGGAAUUUAUUAUCAGUGUUAUCUUCUCUUUAUAUUACCAGUAUAUUCUAUGUACCUGACUCACCAGGAAUGCAUUGUUAGGUCACCUUAGUCACUCAGGUGAUCGUUUGCUAUUGAUCUGCCCGUUCGUUAUUGUCAUCUGUCGAUUGUAUGUAUGGAUUCGUUUAACACCUCCCUCAACGAAAUUUCACUCAUGGAGACAUCAUCAAUUCCGGUGAAGGGCUGCAAAAUUUAGGUCUAUGCUCGGCGCUUAUGGCCUUUGAGCAGGGAGGGAUUUUUAUCUUGCCACAAAACAUUCUUGGGAAAAGGGGAUUCAUGUUUGUUCAAAUGAAGCAGCGUGUCAACUUGAAAGGGGUAAUUAUACAGUGAAACUUCUCCAAAUCGGCCCCUCAGAAAACCAUUCCUCUCUGAAUAUCGCCCAAUUCUUAAAGUCUCUGUAGGAAUCUUAACAUAUCCUUUCAAAGAAAUUCAUAUAGUCCAAAAUGUGACUUAUCGAGAUUUCCGCCAUUUUUGACAAGGGACUUCUGGGAUGAUCCUCAGUUAAAGGUUCAGAUUUAGCUCGGAUUAUUCUGUGCUCUUUAGUCAUUGGACCUUGCAGUAUGAGCCAGAGCACUGCGCUCGCUAUUAGUAUGCAAGUAGCUGCAUUUAAUUCAAAUUGAAGUUGAACACAAGGACCCCAGGGGUAGGGUGGGGGCAGAAUAUGAAAUCAGAGUUUUAUAUGGUAAUAUGCAGAAAAUUUAUUAAAACAAAGACUUUUCAAGAGUAGCAGGGCCACACUAAAUCAUAUCCAAAUGCAAAUGUCCCCAAGUUGUGUGAAAACAAGGUUUUUUUAUGACCCUGACUAAGGAUGGGGUGGAAUUGUUUUUGUCCUGUCUGUCUGAAAUUUUAACCUUCCUCAUAACUUUUAAAUAAUGAGCAAUGGGGCUCUCAUAUUUGCAUUCUUUUUUAUAGCCAUAAAGUCUUUCACCUCGUGACCUUGACAUUAGAGUUUCAUCUACUGACCGGUUUAGCUUUCUGGACCUUAAAAGAUGUUGACACCCUGCUGAUGGAGCAGAUCCUAUUUCUUAGAAGCAGAAAGCAGUUCUCUUACCAUCAGAUCUGAUCCAUUUUUGGAGAUAGCCUUUUGUAUGGAGCUGGGUAACGGUUACUGGAGACAUGCUGUUGAUUGAUGAGGAUAAUUUUCCCGAGACUCUGACAUAUUGCAGGACCUGGAUAGCUCUACUGGUGUUCAAAAUGCCAGGACUGUGAAGUGUUGUGAUGUUAUUGAUGGUCAACAGAAGACUGUGACCUUGAAUCUGAAGAUCUGUGAUGAAGACUGGACGUUUGGGGUCACUCUCUGUUACAGUACUACAAAUCUAACAGUGCGACACUCAGCCACAAAGAGGUUGUCUCUGAUGUCCACACAUAAACCGUAUGGACGUUCUAAAUCACAGUGAAUGUAACGGAGGAACUGUCCGUCCUGAUCUAGGAUGUGGAUACGGUGAUAGUCUGCUGUCAGGAUGUGACUCUGGCUGUCUGUAGUGAUGCCGGCUGGAUCAAAUGAUUGCUCGGUAUUAGAGGGAUGACCAGUGUAUCUAAAUCGGAGUUUUCCUGACUGAUUGACCACCACUACUGCACUAGCUAACCAGUCAGCCACACAGAUAUCCAGGUUCUUGUUCUCACUGAGGUAUUUAAUGUUACCAGAUUUAUAGAGAGGACGACCCUGAUCAUCAAACUGAAUGCUUUGUUUCUCUGUGGAGCCGGAGUAACGCACGACUUUGGAUUGUUUGUUAUCAUCACUGAUCAUGGUAACCAGGAGAUCGUUAGCCGCGGUACAGCAGACAUAGCCAGGCCUCCACCCCUGUAGUGUGAUCACGAUUGAGUUGAGUGGAACAAUGAACCUCCAGAUAUCUAUGUACAUUUACACGUGUAUGAUUAAACUUCUGUUGCACUCGCGCAUGCGAGCUUAUCC